GAUGAACGCUGGCGGCGUGCCUAAUACAUGCAAGUCGAGCGAACAGACGAGGAGCUUGCUCCUCUGACGUUAGCGGCGGACGGGUGAGUAACACGUGGAUAACCUACCUAUAAGACUGGGAUAACUUCGGGAAACCGGAGCUAAUACCGGAUAAUAUAUUGAACCGCAUGGUUCAAUAGUGAAAGACGGUUUUGCUGUCACUUAUAGAUGGAUCCGCGCCGCAUUAGCUAGUUGGUAAGGUAACGGCUUACCAAGGCAACGAUGCGUAGCCGACCUGAGAGGGUGAUCGGCCACACUGGAACUGAGACACGGUCCAGACUCCUACGGGAGGCAGCAGUAGGGAAUCUUCCGCAAUGGGCGAAAGCUUGACGGAGCAACGCCGCGUGAGCGAUGAAGGUCUUCGGAUCGUAAAACUCUGUUAUUAGGGAAGAACAAAUGUGUAAGUAACUAUGCACGUCUUGACGGUACCUAAUCAGAAAGCCACGGCUAACUACGUG
rnacentral:rRNA from 1 species